AAUAGUUUUUUAAAUGGAAACUGGGAUGAAAGGAAGGAUGAGAUUUAGACUGUCUUAAAUUAAAUUAGUGAAUUUAUUAAUUAAGUAAAAAUACUUAGAUGAAAAUAUGGGACGAGAAGACCCUAUAGAAUUUUAUAUGAAUUUAUUAAUAAGUUAAGAAUUAUUAUAUAUAAGAAAAUUCAUAUUUUGUUGGGAGGAUAAUUAAAUUAAGAAAACUUUAAUAUAAAUAAAAUCAUUAAUUUAUGUGGAGUAUUAUGAGUGAUAAUAAUAUGUAGUAGAAUUAAUUACCUUAGGGAUAACAGCGUAAUAUCUUUAGAGAGAUCUUAUUAAUAAAGAUGAUUGU
rnacentral:rRNA from 1 species